rnacentral:rRNA from 1 species
UACGAAGGGGGCUAGCGUUGCUCGGAAUCACUGGGCGUAAAGGGUGCGUAGGCGGGCUUUUCAGUCAAGGGUGAAAUCCUGGAGCUCAACUCCAGAACUGCCUUUGAUACUGAAGAUCUUGAGUCCGGGAGAGGUGAGUGGAACUGCGAGUGUAGAGGUGAAAUUCGUAGAUAUUCGCAAGAACACCAGUGGCGAAGGCGGCUCACUGGCCCGGUACUGACACUGAGGCACGAAAGCGUGGGGAGCAAACAGG